AAUGUCGAAUCGGGAUUCACUAAGACAAAAAUAAAGCAUUGGGUCUAACUCUUCUUUGGUGUUAAGGUGAUAGUUGUGAAUAGCCAUCAACUACCUAGAAAAGGUAGAAGAAUAGGACCUAUUCUGGGUGGGCUAAUGACUAGGGUGAUCUAUUACCUUGUUGAGGGUAAGAGGUAA
rnacentral:rRNA from 1 species